rnacentral:rRNA from 1 species
UUGCCAGCCGCCGCGGUAAGACGGGGGGGGCGAGCGUUGUUCGGAUUUAUUGGGCGUAAAGGGUGUGUAGGUGGUUGCUUAAGUCGGACGUGAAAAUCCCUGGCUCAACCAGGGACCGGCGUUCGAAACUAAGCGACUUGAGUACGGGAGAGGAGAGUGGAAUUCCUGGUGUAGCGGUGAAAUGCGUAGAUAUCAGGAGGAACACCGGUGGCGAAGGCGACUCUCUGGCCCGAUACUGGCACUGAGGCACGAAAGCUGGGGGAGCGAACGGGAUUAGAUACCCCGGUAGUCCCAGCCGUAAACGAUGGGCACUAGGUGUAGGAGGUUUUUAUCCUUCUGUGCCGUAGCUAACGCGUUAAGUGCCCCCGCCUGGGGAGUACGGUCGCAAGGCUGAAACUUAAAUGAAUUGACGG